CCAGCCAUAGCUCAGUUGGUAGAGCGGAGGACUGUAGAGUGUAGCGUAGUGAUCCUUAGGUCGCUGGUUCGAAUCCGGCUGGCUGGA
rnacentral:tRNA from 1 species